CUUGCCCUUCUGCCCUUUUAGGAUUCUCCUGGAAUGGUCCACAGGCAUCUAUAUUGCUGUUCCCCAAUCCCACCCGCAAGGGGCGCGCGAGAUGAAACAGUUCUGUCCUGGGAUGUACCACUGAGGAGUAGCAGUAAGAUCACCCACUCUGAAAGGGAGAAAUAUGAGUGGGCAAGUGGCAUCAAAAUUGGGACCUACAAAUCAAGAUUGCGCCCAGGUGGAUGAACCUGUGGUUGUGAGUACCUUGCCAUUUGAUGUUUUCUACUAGCACAAGUUUAUUUUUGAGAAAAUGAUGUUAAGUAGUACAGAUGCAGUGAUAAAGGUCUUCCAUGCUGAUAAAGGGUGAGAAUUUGUCUUAGGAAGGAACAUUGAUCCAGAUAUAGUCUGGCAUUGCCUGGAUGAGUAUACUGUUAAAUUCCCUGGAAAUGUGCCCAGUGACUCCCUCCUCCUGCUUAUUAACAACAGACUGCAUGCUUCCAUCCCAACAUAGAUUUAAAUAACUUCCAAAGUCUUUCUGGGUAACUCUUAUGGGAGCUAAUUCAUCUCUGUGUGAAGAGUAACAUUAUUAAAAGUAAGUACAUAGAAUUGUGUUGGGAAAAUGUUGUUAGGUUUACUUAUGCUCAGAUAUAUCUAUGUAUUAUGUAUAUUUAUGCUAUUAGAUGUAUUAACAACAAAAAGGUUUUAUUUGCAUGCACACUCUACUUGGACCAGCAGCCCAGUGUUGAGCAACCUCAACAAGAGGAACCGCCAGCUGAGAUUCAGGAUAUCACACCUAGAAAGGAGGAAGUACAUGGAGAGGAUCCAGUGAAUCGUGAUGAAGAAGAGGAGAAGGAUCCCUUUGAAGAUUCUGGCCUGGAAGCUGAUCUCCAGCAAUUGGCUCUGGCAAAGACUGGGGGUGAAGGUGGAGAUGGUCCUGAUGUCAGGGAGGAGUUUGCAUCAAAUACAGAGCCUGGUGAAAUGCCAGAAGCAGGUGAAGGGCAGCCAUUUGCUUGAAAGAAGAUAAACUGAAACCAUCUAUGCUGUUCUUAUGUUGUGUAUUUGACUGUUAAAGUUCUGUCAAUAAAGUUUCCUUUUCUAAUUGCA
rnacentral:lncRNA from 1 species